AACCCCCUGAGUUAGUGGUGGAUACUUGCAAUGGUUUGGACCAUGAGCAUGAUGCGGAUGCCGCGACUGACGUGGUUCAUCAGAACGGAGAUGAUGGAUUGGCCAUUGACCCCAAACUGGGAUGCCGUGUACAUUUUCCGAGUGACGUCAUUCGAGAAACGUGAGUACACGAGAUAAUGAGACGGUUUCUUGGAAGAAAAACAAGUCCCGGGAUUAGAUUAGUAAUAUACG